rnacentral:rRNA from 1 species
UACAGAGGUCCCAAGCGUUGUUCGGAUUCACUGGGCGUAAAGGGUGCGUAGGUGGCCAGGUAAGUUCGGUGUGAAAGCUCGGAGCUUAACUCCGAAAUGUCAUUGAAUACUAUCUGGCUGGAGGGUCGGAGGGGAGACUGGAAUUCGUCGGUGUAGCAGUGAAAUGCGCAGAUAUCAGGAGGAACACCGGUGGCGAAGGCGGGUCUCUGGGCCGAUACUGACGCUGAGGAGCGAAAGCGUGGGGAGCGAACAGG